rnacentral:rRNA from 1 species
AUUGAACGCUGGCGGCAGGCCUAACACAUGCAAGUCGAGCGAGCGGCGGACGGGUGAGUAAUGUAUGGGGACUGCCCGAUAGAGGGGGGUAACUACUGGAAACGGUGGCUAAUACCGCAUACCGUCUGGUAGACCAGAUGGGAUUAGCUAGUAGGUGAGGGAAGGGCUUACCUAGGCGACGAUCCCUAGCUGGUCUGAGAGGAUGAUCAGCCACACUGGAACGGAGACACGGUCCAGACUCCUACGGAGGCAGCAGUGGGGAAUAUUGCACAAUGGGCGCAAGCCUGAUGCAGCCAUGCCGCGUGUAUGAAGAAGGCCUUAGGGUUGUAAAGUACUUUCAGUGGGGAGGCGUUACCGACAGAAGAAGCACCGGCUAACUCCGUGCCAGCAGCCGCGGUAAUUC